AUGACCUGUGAUAACCUAAGGAGGAGAGGGAUGGCGAAACCUUUAGAGUGCGUUCACUGUAAAGAGAUAGAGUCAGUGUAUCAUCUAUUCUUUGAAUGUGUGGUAGCGAGGAAUGUCUGGAAUAUUGUUAAAAGAAUCUUCCAGGUAGAUGUGGUAGAUUUUGAAUCGAUUACUAGACGCUGGCUAUGUAAUAAGAAAAAUCUACACUUUAAUUUUGUCACUUCCGCAAUCCUAUGGGGAUUAUGGUAUGCAAGAAAUGCUAUUGUGUUUAAUAGAUGCUCAUGGAUAUCCAUGAAACAGGUCCUGGGACCAAUCUAUGGAUACCUGAGAGCCUGGAUAAAGAUAUCCAAGGAUCUGCCGGGGGACUGUUGGACAAAUUUCAAAAAGAACUGUGGGAGAGCCUAA
rnacentral:rRNA from 1 species